GGGCCUUUAGCUCAGUCGGUCAGAGCAGCAUACUCAUAAUAUGAAGGUCCAGGGUUCGAGUCCCUGAAGGCCCACCA
rnacentral:tRNA from 1 species